GUGCAUUGUCCCGCCCACCACAUCCAUCUCAGACCUCUGAGCAGCUAACUGAAUGAAGGAGACGAAGAUUCAUGGAAAACAGAAUAUUUGGUUAGAGGCGGCGCCAUUUUGUGCUGUUGUGCUCCCUCUUCUGAAAUCGGGCCUCUUGUCACUUUAAAUCCAGAGAAGCUUCUGCUGGCCACGCUCCCAAAAGUCAACGUUUACACUCGCUCGUGAAAAUGGCUGGCAAUAGAAAUGCAAAUAUACAACCAUACAUCUUUGAAAAGCAGAAGUGGGCCCUCCUGCACAGUCAAAAUGUUGACAGCAAAUGGUUUCUGGAUGAGACUCUGCAAGACCAAUCAGGACCCUUGCCCUCACAGCUAGCAGAGAAAAGCUGGGAAAGGAGAGGAAAGCAGAGAGGAGGAGGUUUAUGAGGAUUGACCAGCACUUAAUAAAUGAGAACAUCAUCCAAACGAUGUGAGAUAAAAGACCUUCAUGGUGCAUAAAAGUCUAUCCAGAGGCUGGCAGCCGAGGAGAAUCCUGGGAAAGGUCAGAGAUCUUGGCGUUGUCGUCCCCACGGCGGGGGUUUGGAGUAUGGGGAGGGACAAUAACUCCUUGAGGUUGGCGGUUUGUGAGUGGGUGGGAGAAAAGCCCGAGGAGCUGGAUGGACUCUUCAGAAAGAUGAUGGAGAACAGAAAACCAGUGUAAUCCUGACAUUACAUCGAUGCCUUCAGCUGUCGUUGAGUGACGAUAAUCCUUGCGUGACAGCAACCUACCAAAGUUCAUCUUUCAACGCCGUCUGCUCCUCAAAAAUCUCACAAAUCACACCUUCACACACAACCACGGCGCAGGAAGACAGAUUGUGGGAGAACUGGAGCCUGAGCACCCAGGGGGCCCUUUGACGGCGACGGCUUUUCAUCGGCUGGCGGUGGAGUCAGUUUAUGGAGGAGCGGCACGGGAUAACUAGGACAGCUAAAGAGGAGCGGCCCGGACAGGCAGGAAUAAUUAGGCGUCUGCUGCUCAGGAGAUACGGCAGCGGCGCGCCUGUCAAAAGGUCAGCGAAGGACAUGUUGGCGUACGGCUGGAAAAAGGAAUGGGCUUUCAGAGAGGAGGCGGCGGAGGAAGGAAAGUGUUAACAGGAAGAUGAGGGACGGAAAGGAGAAAAUAAACAAGAAUAUGGU